ACAGAAAGACAAAGAGAGAGAGAAAGAGAGACAAGCAAACAAAAUGAAACAAAAAAGAAGAAAAGUCGUUCAGCGUCAUAUUUUUCCUCUUCAAUUUACCCCAACCGCUCUUUCUUCCAAUCAUUUUUCUUU
rnacentral:ribozyme from 1 species